UCAGAGAACUUUUGUAAGUCGCUCUGGAUAAGAGCGUCGGCUAAAUGACUUAAA
rfam:Salmo salar isolate Sally breed double haploid chromosome ssa03, whole genome shotgun sequence.